UAUCUUUGCAGCUUGAAAGAACGACUUUCAACGUACAUAAAAAUCAUUUAUAACAAUAUUAGCAUG
ncrna:unclassified sequences S15-Flavobacteria ribosomal protein leader